CCCUUAGAUGUUCUGGGCUGCACGCGUGCUACAAUGGCGUUUCCAGCAAGUCUGCGAACCCGAGAGGGCCAGCGGAUCUUCGAAUUGGCGUCGUGAUCGGGACAGUCGAUUGCAAUUAUUUGACUCGAACGAGGAAUUCCUUGUAAUCGCGAUUCAUCAUAUCGCGCUGAAUACGUCCCUGCCCUUUGUACACACCGCCCGUCGCUCCUACCGAUUGAGCGAUCCGGUAAAUGUUUUGGAUUGGUGCCGGGGCGGCUAGCUGCCGGUCGCUACGAAAUUUUGUGAACCUUAUCGCUUAGAGGAAGGAAAAGUCGUAACA
rnacentral:rRNA from 1 species